GACGAACGCUGGCGGCGUGCCUAAUACAUGCAAGUCGAACGCUGAAGGAGGAGCUUGCUCUUCUGGAUGAGUUGCGAACGGGUGAGUAACGCGUAGGUAACCUGCCUGGUAGCGGGGGAUAACUAUUGGAAACGAUAGCUAAUACCGCAUAACAGUAGAUGUUGCAUGACAUUUGCUUAAAAGGUGCAAUUGCACCACUACCAGAUGGACCUGCGUUGUAUUAGCUAGUUGGUGGGGUAACGGCUCACCAAGGCGACGAUACAUAGCCGACCUGAGAGGGGGAUCGGCCCCACUGGGACUGAGACACGGCCCAGACUCCUACGGGAGGCAGCAGUAGGGGAUCUUCGGCAAUGGACGGAAGUCUGACCGAGCAACGCCGCGUGAGUGGAGGAGGUUUUCGGAUCGUAAAGCUCUGUUGUAAGGGAAGAACGAGUGUGAGAGUGGAAAGUUCACACUGUGACGGUAUCUUACCAGAAAGGGACGGCUAACUACGUG
rnacentral:rRNA from 1 species